GUAUGUUGAGGGCGAUCUGGCUGCGACAUCUGUCACUCCAUUGAUGGCCAGGGUUGAUUUGGCUGAUCUGGUUGGCUAGGCGGGUGUCCCCUUCCUCCCUCACUGCUCCACGUGCGUCCCUCCAGAAGCUGCAUGCUCAGUCGAAGAGGACGACCCUCCCCGAUAGAGGAGGACCAUUUUUGCGGUCAGGGGUGUAUGAGUAGCUGCACUCCUCUGCUAGAACCUCCAAACAAGCUCUGAAUGCCCCAUAUCCAUUUUUACACACACUGCAGCUUCCCACAUUGACACUUU
rnacentral:sRNA from 1 species